GGAAAAACCAAUGUGGUCAUUCCAAAGUAAAGUAAAUGUACAAGCCAACAAACAGCAUCCCAAGGAGCAGGAAAGGAAAGGACAGUUCUGUCAUUACUGUACAAAGGAUCAUGAUUUAGAUGAUUGCAAGGAAUUUGCCAAACUUGAUGGUAAUACUAGGUACAAAUUUCCUAAGGAAAAAUGGUUAUGUACAGGCUGUUUAAAAAUGGGUCACAAGGGAAAGGAUUGUAGAAGAAGGAAAGUUUGUAAAGUAUGUCAGAGAUACCAUCCCACAACUCUUCACAAUGAUGACAUAAGAACUGAGGCCAAAGGGUGCCAGAACAAGCAACUGAGCCUAAAGGUAAUAAACCCACUGUAGUAGCAAAUAAGGUCAAAGUGACAGAAUCAGUGACACAUGACAUGCACACCAUGAUAGUUCCUGUAUGGUGACAUCAUGUUAGUAAUGAAGAGAAUAAAGUUUUAGUGUAUACCCUGCUGGAUGAGCAAUCUGAUGCUUCAUUCAUCAAGGAAAGCACUCUGAAUAAAUUAGGAGUUAGCGGCCCAUCAGUGUCACUUAAUAUCCACACAAUAAGUGGAAAACAAAUCACUGAUUCUACCAAAAUUCAUGGACUUAGAGUGAGAGGUUAUAAUGAAGAAAUGGAAAUAUCAAUCCCUUCAGCAUAUUCAACAGAAAACAUUUCAGCUGGACAGAGUCAGAUACCAAGGCCUGAGACUGCUUGUGACUGGCCCCACUUAAAGCCAAUCUCUGACAAACUAAUGAAAUCUGACCCAGAUGUUGACAUAGGACUCCUCAUUGGUCUUGAUUGUGCAGAAGCCAUUAUGGCAGAAGAGCAAAUAGCAGGUGAUAGCAAGAAGCAUCCCUAUGCUCGUAGGACAGAGCUAGGUUGGGGUAUCAUUGGUAGAAUCUCACCCUAUUCAAGUCCAUUCGAGGAUACAGUGGUAGUCUACAGAACAGUGACACAAAAAGUAGAAAUCAAUGAAGAAAAGAGGGUUAAUUUCUUAGUGGUUUCUACUAAAACCAAAGAGAUGAUUAAUCCUUCUCAAGUGAGAGAUAUGUUUGAACUUGACUUCAGUGAUAGAAGGUCAACUAACACUCCAUUACCAUAUGAAGAUAAAAGGUUUAUGAGUAAGAUAAAAGAAGGAGUACAUCAGCUGAAGGAUGGACAUUAUGAGUUGCCCCUUCCUCUUAAAGAUGAUAACGUCAAGCUUCCAAACAACAAACUAUUAGCAGAGCAGAGACUCAAUAAGUUAAGAGCUAAAUUUGAGAAGGAUAAUCAACACAAAGGUGAUUACAAAGUGUCUAUGGAUGAUAUGAUUACCAAAGGUUAUGCAGAGGUUGUACCGACAAAGGAUUUAGUUAGGAAUGAUGGUAAGGUCUGGUACAUUCCACACCAUGGAGUCUAUCAUUCGAGAAAGCCAAAGAAGUUGAGAGUUGUAUUUGACUGUAGUGCAAACUACAGGAACCAGUCACUAAACAGUCACCUGUUACAAGGCCCAGACCUUACCAACAAACUUAUUGGAGUGUUGUGUAGGUUUAGGCAAGAAAGCAUUGCACUUGUAUGUGAUAUAGAAGCAUUGUACCAUCAAGUGAAGGUCAACCCAGAACACAGAGACAUGUUAAGAUUCCUUUGGUGGGAAAAUGAUGACCUUAAUAAUGAGAUAGCUGAAUACAGGAUGACAGCUCACCUGUUUGGAGCUACAUCAUCUCCAAGUGUAACCAACUUUGCACUUAAGAAAGCUGCAAAUGACUAUGGGUGUGGAUCUGAUGCAGCCAAGUUUGUAAGAAACAACUUUUAUGUUGAUGAUGGUUUGAAGUCAGUAGCUACAAUGGAUGAAGCUUUCACUCUUAUUCAGCAGAGAAAAGAAUUAUGUUACAAGGGAGGUUUUAACCUUCAUAAGUUCUUGUCAAACAACAAAGAUGUAUUAGCUGCAAUUUCUCCUCAUGAGAGAGCAGAUGGAAUUAAAAGUUUGGAUUUUAGUAAGAAUGAAGACACACUGCCUAUAGAAAGAACUUUGGGAGUUGAGUGGUGCAUAGAAUCUGACACAUUUCAAUUUAGAAUAAAGCUGAAAGACAAGCCACUCACCAGGAGAGGCAUUCUGUCAACAGUGAGCUCUAUAUAUGAUCCAUUAGGUCUAGUGUCACCUCUCAUACUGACUGGAAAGCAAAUUUUACAAGAAUUAUGUAAGAAUGCAGUUCAGUGGGAUGAUGAUUAUGUCAAACCUAAAUGGAUACAAUGGAAGGAUGAGCUGCACAAACUAGAUCAGCUAAAAGUACCUAGAUGUUACAAACCUGAUUACUUUGGGGAAGUAGAAAAGGUUGAACUCCAUCACUUUUCAGAUGCCUGCCAAGAGGGAUAUGGCCAGUGCUCAUAUAUUAGAUUAAUUAGCAAGACUGGCCGAAUUCAUUGUGCAUUAAUAAUGGCAAAGUCACAUGUCACACCUCUAAAAACCAUGACAAUUCCCAGACUAGAGCUAUCAGCAGCAGUGGUGUCAGUUAGAAUCCAUAAACUCUUGAAGGGAGAACUUGAGUAUAAUAAUGUGGAAGAAGUAUUUUGGACAGACAGCAAAGUAGUCCUUGGUUACAUUGCAAAUGAAGCAAAGAGAUUCCAUGUAUAUGUUGCUAAUAGAGUAGAAACAAUUAGAGAUCACACUUCACCAGAUCAGUGGAAAUUUGUAGACACACAGUAUAACCCAGCAGAUCAUGCAUCUAGAGGCAUGACAGCAGAUGAAUUGUGUAAUAGCAAGAUCUGGUGGAAUGGCCCAGAAUUCCUUUGGCAACAUAGCAAAAUGGAUAGCUAUCCCCAGUACAAGGUCAUAAAUGAAAAUGACCCUGAAGUGAAGAAAGUUGUAUGUCAUGCUGUAGGUACACAAUAGCCCACAGAUAUACUAGAAAGACUUGAGUAUUUUUCUGAUUGGUUUUGUUAAACGCUGAGCCAUCCUUGCUAGCAAUGUGUAUUAGGCGAGUAGGACAGGGAAUAAAACGUGUGAGUCCUAAGACAGCUGGAGCAGAACUAAAGUGUACCACGCCUGCUAUUUAUUUCAUUGGCUUCGACACAGAUUAAAAAUACACAGUGUGAAACCCCAAAACCCCGAACAUCUGAGUAACUCAAUUGAACCCCGAAUAAACCCACCAACGUAUCAUUAUGUUUCGGACCCAACACCCCCACUGAAACUAAUGAUGGGUAUAUACAAUACAACACACAUUAAAUCAAUACACACUCCUGUUUUAACUAUCUACACACCCAUAAUAACUUUACUGAAUUCACAAAGCUUUACUUUAGGUACAGGUUUAGUGAACAUAUCAGCAAUAUUUUGAUCAGAUGGUACAUAGUUAAGUUGCACUACACCUCUCUGAACCUCUAUCCUAAUAAAAUGGUAUCUAAUAUCUAUGUGCUUUGAUCUCUGAUGCUGGACAGGGUUUUCAACUAAUUUCACUUCACGACUAUUUAACUGACGUCACCGGUAGUCAACGAGAUGCCCGCUUCACCAGCUCCACGACAGUUCGCUGCUAGUCUCCACACAGUCCACACCUCAACGCUGUCUGCUGUUCCGCUCGUCGACCACCUGGCUUCUGUUCACCGGCUUUCUCUUAGGAGUCAGCCUGGUAAGCCUUCACCCGCUACAGCAGGGUGUUAGCUGUAUGGUGAUUCCACAUAUAUGAUCUAAGGACGUAUAUGUUGGCUCUUGUGUUUCCUUCCCGUUUUCCGUUCUUUCUAGACGUGAGAUGUCGGAACGGGAAAAGGGCUCAGGAACGCCUCGGCGUCCCCCCUCACCUGCUUCGGGAGGGAAGCGACGUGAGAAGGACCUUCUAGAAGGCGAUGGCAAGCGGAGGAAGGCCUCCCGGGAUAGUUCCAGUACUCAACCACCUCCCGCCUGUCCGCAGUCAGCUGCGGGCCCGAGCCACAUCGGCGAUACAGCGGUGCCUCCUUCGAGUGAAGUAACUUUGGACAAGCUUUCUACCCUUUUGGGUGCUCUAAUUGAAAGAUUAGACCAGCCGGCAGUCCCUCCAGUGUCGGUGGAGACUAACUUCACCUUCCCCCAUUCUGAUGAUGAGGCAGCUGAAGCGCCUCGGUGUCUGCCCGAAGCUGAUCCCCUUGACGACCUCGAUCUGCUUACUGCCCCCGCUACACAGUCAACCGGUGAUUCGGUGGUUGAUGCGGAUUUCCAGAAAGCUCUCGAUGAGUUUGCUGGCCACUUCCGGGGUGAGGAAGAGACAGGUGACCCCUUAUCUGACCGCCUGGCUGGCAUUCUUAAUGCCAGUCUGAGACGUCGGCCCUCUUCUGACGGUGUGAAGCUUACAUGUGAUAAGAUCAAACUCCCGAGUAAUGUACCCAAUUUAAAGGUCCCAGCGACUAAUUCUGCCAUCACAAAGGCAAUGAGCGUCGGUGGAAAGCUAGUUGACACUCGGCUGUCACUUACUAAUAAACUGUUGACCAAGGCGUUGGUCCCCAUUGCCUGUUGCAUCAGUGAUAUUGGUGAUAAGAAAGACAAGCCUGUAAACUACUACCUUGAUGGUCUUAAUAACAGCCUGAGGCUACUGACUUCCGCUGUUAACUACAUCAAUCAGCUUCGGAAAGAGGUUGCUCGAACUCAUGUGAAUGAUUCUGCCUUGGCAGAGCUCUGCAAUUGGGAGUGUGAGGUCGGCAAGGAUGAUUUAUUCCCGUUCGAUGUGAUUAAGAAGUGUGAGGAAAUUCACAAAUCCAGGAAACUUGGGCGGCCCACCUUCCGCCCUUACAAAGCUCCUGGAAAACGAUUUGCUUCACCUCGCCAGUUACCCUCACGCCCUCACUCUCAGCAGCCGAGACCACGUCACCAAACAAGGUCUUUUUUAGGCCAGAGGCCUCCCCAGGGGAAGGGGAUGCCGAGACACAGAGCUCACCAGUGAAAGUACCUUUGUAUUAUAUCAAGGGUCCUCCAAAAGCUCCAGGAAGACGAAGCUACAGUGAUGGUGAUUCUUCCUCUAUGGCCGACUCAAGUAUGGUUCCCGACAGCCCUCCGCUUGCUAACGGCACCUCCUGUGCUUCUCCCCCGUCUUCCUCUCGUGCUGCCACAAAAUCCAACUCUCACACAUCCUCGGUCUCAAGUGUUGAUCUUGACAGCGAUGGUAUUAUCAGGGAAUCGUACCAAAGUCGCGGCCUUUCGCCGGAAGUUGCCGGAUUUCUGCUGCACUCCUGGAGGGAGAGCACGAGAGAACAGUAUGGGUCGCAUAUUAAGAAAUGGUUGUCAUUUUGCUUCGGCAGGAAAAUUGAUCUCUUUCAGCCAUCUUCAGCUGACCUUUUAGAUUUCCUCCUUUCCGAAUUUAGGAGGGGUGCAGGUAGGACUUACAGCUCCAUCAACACGUUACGGUCGGCCAUCUCGGCAGUGGCAAGUAUCAAUGGCCAGCCGGCAGGACAACAUCCCUUAGCUACAAGGUUUAUGAAAGCAGUCUUUCAGGUGAGACCGUCCUUACCCCGCUACGGUACGACCUGGGAUCCUCACUUGAUCUUGGAUCACAUCAUAGGUCUUGGGCCCGAUAAAGAUUUGUCCUUGAUUCAGUUAUCAAGGAAGCUAACAAUCCUUAUGUUGCUCCUCUCUGGUCAACGCGGUCAGACUUUACAUAUGUUAGACAUUAGGAACAUGACUGUUUCGGACAGUCGGGUCUCUUUUAGGAUUGGUGAUCCGCUAAAAACUUCUAGGCCAGGUACACACUUGUCAGAAUUGGUUUUCGUAGCCUAUCCCCCAGACAGGAGGUUAUGUGUUGUCACCUCAACGAUGAGCUAUCUAGAACGCACAAACAACAUGCGGGGUUCGCUCACGGGUUUCUUUCUCACAACAAGACCUCCAGUCAAACUGGCUUCACGGGACACAUUACGUCGCUGGACGAAAGAUGUCAUGCGAGCUGCUGGCAUUAAUCUUGGCAUUUUUUCACCUCAUUCUACCAGGUCGGCGUCAGCCAGUAAGGCGGCCCUGCGGCUCCCUUUGUCGACAAUUAUCUCUACUAUUGGCUGGACCAGAGAAUCUACAUUCACGAAGUACUACAGGAAGCCCAUAAUUGAUGCUGGUGAAUUUUCCAGAACUGUACUCUCAUAACUUGUAGUUCUUCACGCGCAUUAUUGUUGUAAGCCGUGCUGUUGUUGUACUUGUUUGGGUUUGUUACUGAAUAUUGGGUAAUAAAAGGCUGUUCAUGCUUC